GUCACCACCAUUAACUGUGUAUUUUCACCACCGAAGAUCAAGAGCCAGCAUGCCAUGCUCAUAAAAAUCUGCAUCAGUGGAGGUGACCCACUGUUUCACAGGUGCUAUGACAGCAUGAUUACCAGGUAGAAAUCAGAAGGCAUCAAAUCCAGACUGUGCAAUGGGUGUGGUGGGACAGUCCAGCCAAGAUGGGCAAGGUCUUCCAUGGUCUUCAAACUGAUAUGGAGCCUGGUGUUAUAAUAUUGCAGGAGAAAGGCUUUCUUCUUCUCUGGCCUGACUCUGGAAGUUUGAGCCAUCGGCUGACUAAGUUGUGAUGAGUGGUCAGAGUUAAUGGUUUCACUUUCACAGGAACCUGUCACCUUCAGCCUCAUAUUUGUUCAGUAGAUUCCGGCAAACUUGCAAACUUCUUUCUGUUCCUAUGUGAGCAUUUGUGGAACCUGGUACAAACUUUGUGAUAUUCCAAUGUUGCCAUUGUUGUUUCUAAUGCACUGAAGCUGAUAUUCAACUUCAUACGUAGUUCUCUGGUUGUAAUCUGCCAGUUCUCAUGGAUGAGCUCACCAAGACUUUCAUUUUGUGGUGUUACUGCAGUGCAUGGCUGUCCAGAAUGUGGUUUGUCUUUCACAUCACUGUUGCCACUGCUGAAAUGCACUACCCACCACCUCACUGUGCUCACAUUUGCUCUUUGGUCUCCACAAAGGUUCACCAAACAUUGAAGAAUGUCAGUGGGUGCUGUUUUUUCCACACAGAGGAAUUCAGUGACACACCUUUGCUUCAUAUGCACUUCUAUGUCAGAUGCCGUUCUGUCAGACUGCCCCUCUGCUGCCAUCUGUCACGCAGCAACAAAAUGCAAUGGAAUAUUGGUGGGAAGAUUCAACCUCUAUUGCCAUACCACCGACAUCCACCUCUGAUGUUGUGGUUCAACAUAAUAAAACAGGUGACAUUACUUUCAGAGCAACCUUUACAUAAUCAGCCACAGAACACAAAAGCUUGUGAAUAUGCUUCCUUGUGGUAAAAAUAGAAAAUCUUUUCUUAGAAUAGUCACAACCAUAAAUUUGGUCAUUUGAAUGCUCACAAAUAGCCUGAAAUCUGUCUGUUUGUCUAACUACACAAGAAGAUGCAUCACUUCCAAGAACACAUGGAACUACUUGCUGUGUGCAUGUAUGAUAAUUAUUUUCAUGUUAUAUAGUCUGUCUAACAACAGUUUGCACAGUGCCUAUGCAUAUGCCUCUCUUAAAUGACUACAUUAACUCAAUCAAUCCAAAGAUGAAAAAUCUGUUUCCUGAACUAUUCAGAUUGUUUAACCAUUCAUUUUCUUCCUUUUGAUGUGUAGCUGCAUUUCAGUGUUUAUAAGCAUAAUUCAGUGCUGUCACAAUUGAGUUUUCUGUAACUUUUUACUCAGUAGUGCAGUAAAAAGCAUACAGCUUAUGAGAUAACAGUGUUAUGUAAAUAGGUCAUAAAAUGGAAACUGUUCCCUGUUUAGAAGUGUAGUGCCACUGAAGCAGGUAAAAAUGGUUUUCAUCCAAUCUUCGUACUGAAAAUUUAUUUUAUCUCAUUUGACUGAGAUUUCUUUGCUACUCUGCUUCCAUUUAUGAAUAGUCCACUUUUUGCUGUUGAAUAACAGAAUUGCAUUAAUUCGUUAAUCAAAUUCUGUACAUGUAAAACAUUGUUUGAUCUCUAAUCUAAUGUUCUGUUUCAAGGAGUGCCCAAUAGCAGGUAAUCAGUGUAAGAUUAAAAAUAAAAAGGUUCUGUAAUAGAUUGUUUCACGUGACAAUUUCUCAGGAAGAUCAAACAUGCCAGAUGUUAAACAAAUAUCCAUUGAACUGUUUUCCUUUUGAGAACACUUAAAAGAUUAAACUGCAGAAUGUUUUACAUUUCCUGUAAUGUCAUUUGCGAUGUGUAAACUAAUGCUAGAAUCUCAAUUUGAGAUGAAUACCCAGAAGCAAAACUUUAUUGCAGUGUGUUUCAGGUCAUUGAAGGAUGAAAGAGUUAGGAAGACAUGCCUCUAGAAAUACUGUUCAAUACAAGGCAGGCCCUAUCUUGCAGGCUGUUUCCCUCAACCUGACUUGGAAGCAGUUGAGGCAAGUGAAAUAGCAGAGGAGGCAUAUGUUUGUUUCUUAAAAUUACUGCUGUGUGUAGCACUACUCUGUCCUUACCGACUUUUUCCUUUCUGUAGAUCACUUAAAUUUUAUGUAAGGAAGGGGUCUCCACCAUGAACUUUGAGUUGUGAAAAAUACAUAGCAAGACAACACAUUACGUGUUAAUUUUGAAUACACCUAGCGUAAAUAAUUGCACUUUCCUUCUCCACAUAAUGUAAUUCCUCUGUGUUCAUGAUAGAAAACUAGACAGCCACCACAGAUGUAGUGAUGCUCUGUAAUUACUGAGAAAUGUGGAUUUUCCCAGGUACUCAUUUCCCUGAAUUCUAUCACCGUAUGCCUCAUUUGGAGGCUGACUGUAUGGUUGCUUCACAAUAACUGCUAUUCAAAGACAUAAGCAAAGAAAUACACACUUAGCUUGUCAGAAGGCAUUGAAUUUCAUUGUUUUGAUAUGUUUAUUUUAGAAAAGUUGCAGCAUUAAUUGUAUUCAUUUCCUAUUAGUUUCUGGCUUUGACUCACUUCUGUGCUCAGAAUGAUUAAGAAACUUCUGGGAAGAUGUUAACACAUUCUCCUCUUCCCACAUCCCCCAAUUCAAAAUAUACAUAUAUAAGCUAAAAAAAUGCUUCAAAGCCACAAAAAAGGGAAUUUCAGGCUGCUAAAAUUUUUAAAAUAUUACCAAAAAAUACCCAUAGUGUAUCAAAAUAGUUAGGAACUGUUUGUUCAUGAGAACUAAGAGGGUCUCUUUUUUAAAUCCCUCUCACUUUGCCCAGAUGUGGUAGAGCAGGAAGAUGUAUAUUUUAAAAGGAGAAGGGACAGCUAAUCUGAAGGAGCUUAAGAGAUGCAUUGGAAGCAGAGGCUGGUGACGUUUUAGCAGGUAGUGAUGCCUGUGUGGUAGCUAGCCAAGAAGUCUGGUCCUAUGAAUUAUUGAAUGGAAUUUGGGAAUGAACUGAGAUGACACCUGGAACCUAAAGUUGACUAAGCAAGAUACUGAGACAAUGCCAAGAAAGUGGCAGAUAAAGAGCAAAGCAAAUGAAGGUUAGAACUGAGUUGCAGGGAAGAAAUGUCAUUGAUGGGACUGACAAGCCAGGCAUAUAUUGGUUAUAUAUAAUUUGUUAUAUUGUGUUGAGGGAUAUGGUUUAGCGAGAACCAUUGGUGAAGGGCGAAUGGUUGGACUGGAUGAUCCUGUGGGUCUUUUCCAACCUUAGCGAUUCUAUGAUUCUAUAAAUUUCUACUUAUUUUUCAAUCCAGAGGUAGGCUGUUCUUCUCUCCUAAGUAAUUAAUAUAUGUUUGAAGCUGAGAAAAGACUAUAAAGUAUGUGAAUUUUGAGUGAGUAUUCUAGUCAUCAUUUCAGGGAACAGGAGCACUACCCUGUAGAACUGGCAUCUAUGCAGAGCUGGAUAAACUAAGCGAUGGAAUAUGGUUCUGGCCUUUGAAUUCUCAUCUCAGGGAGCUGUCUUAUCCAGAAAGGAAAGAAUUUCAGACAGACUCCUUUCUUCAGCUUUUCCUAACAAAUUAUUUCCAUUCUGCAUGUUUGGUGGUGUGACACCUGCUCCAAGCUUCCUGUGGCUCCCAUUUGUACAGAAAAUGGUGGCAAAAUGGGGGACGUAGGAAAGAUUUGGGCCUGACAUAGGCAUUUCAGUGUCAGCAGCAACAUCUCACAUGAGCCUUAGUACUUGGGUGCAAGUUUUACCUGGCAAUUCUUUGGCAGAAUUAGAGACAGAAUCCAUUUGUCCUGGGAAGCAUGUAACUCAGCUAUUGGACUAUCUUUGCUGUCCUCAACCUUUCUGGCUCUUCCCCUGUGCAUCUUCUUUCUUGACAAAUAAUGACUCAUGGAGCUUUUCAUAAGACUCUUUUGCCUUUGAAUUCCUUCCACCCAAGAGAAGGAAACAGGACUAUUCUACAGCUAAAAGAUGUGGGAAGAAAAAACUGUGUUAACUUGUAAGUGAAAUGUUAAUGUAUAGGGCCAUUUAUUACUUUUUAAAAAAAUAGCUUUGUCAUAUGAAUAAUUUUAACCUAUUUUACGCAUGUGAUGUAUAAAGCUUGUUAAUACUUACAUUAUUUUUACACAUUUACAACCUUUUCAACCUAUUCACCUGGAAAAUCUAUGGCAAACAAGUGUAUAGUACACAUGCCCUAUGAGAAUUUCUUCUGAACUAAAUUUCAUUUGGAUAUAAGAAAUUAAUUCUAUAAUAAAAUGACCUGAGAAAAUCAAGUCGUACAGACCAUAGCUCUGACUUUUUUUCUUGGGUCCUCAAAAUCAACUGGUGUAGUAUCUUCAUUAUGUUAUUUCAUUUGAAAAGCACUGAAAAUGCUGUGACAGGAAGAAGGUGAUAGGAUUUUUAGGAAUAUUUUUCCUGACGUUACUUGUAAAUUUUAAUGUCGGUGGGAUCUUAGCAGAAGUAGUUUAGAAGUAGUUGUAGUUUGGCCAGACUGCAUGCUGCUUGGUCACAAUUUUAUGUUGUUGGAAUGUGUUUUGCCUGUGUAGAAGCGGAUAAUCAGCCUUGCUAACCAUAUGCCUAAAAAAUGUUAUCUAAUAACAGUACAUCCUUGGUUGUACUAAUGGGAUUAAAACUAUCUUGCAUACUUUUCAAGAGGCCUUUAUCCUGUGGAGACAUACACACUAAGGAGGGACAACCCUGCUAGCAGUUGUUAAAUUCACAUACCAUUUGCAACCUUUUCUAAUCAUACUCUUCCUAGGAAGCCCACCACAUUUGCCACAGUUUCCUUGGAAUGAGACCAAGUGUGCUUUAAAUUGAUACAAGCUUAUUUGAGAAAGUCUGUCAAAGCUGUCACCAGAAACCAAAAAUAGUUUCUUCAGACAGAAGGCUUGUUCCUUUCAUGAAUUUUUGCUAAGCAGAUGUGGCUUCAACCACUGUUUGAAUUUGUGUCUCACUUUCAGAGGUCAAGAAUAUUUCAAAACAGUUUUGACAUAGACUCCUCUCUGGUUUUUUCUCGUGGUUACCUUUCAAAAGACAGCCAACCUCUGUUGGUAUUUAAAUGGAAUUAAUCAGAAGAAAGAGGGACCUACGGGCCUUUCUAAAUCUCACCCAUUCCUCUGCUGUGAGAGCAGAGCUGUUGCAGCUGGAUUCCUGCAACUCCGGUGGCAAAGCACCCACCUGGAGUCUGUUCUCAGCUCAGCCACCAGAUCUGGCAGCUGGUCUCACAGCUCUAGACUUCUGUCUUUGCACCUGCAACAAGGCAGUAAAAAUCCUGACUUAAUGCAUAUUCUUAUUUCUAAUAUUGUUAUUUGUUAGUGUACGUAUGGCAGGUUAUUGAUGGCUUAAAGGAGCAUCAGCUGUUGUGACUGAGGUCUUUGGGGUGUUUUGCCAAACUACUGUAACAGCAUUGCGCAUAAAGCAACAAGAUUUUGCAUUUUUUUUGUGUCCUUACAUGGACAGAUAGGUUGAUGACUUUCUAAUUCAUCAGUCUUGUUCUGUAAGGACAGCCACUGAACUUUUCUUUUUCAAGGAAGGUGGUGAGCAAAAGACAAUAAAAAACCACUAGCUGAUUUUCUUUUAGAUUGUGUUCCAUGCACGAUAGAGUUCAUGCUAUAUCUAAGCAUAGUUGUGUCUGUUUAUAAAUGAAAAUCUCUCAGAAACAUGAGAAAUGACUUGAAACAUGAGAAAUUGAUUUUGUAAAAAUUAUCAGUCGUGAUUUUGCUUCUGCCCUGUACUGUAACUACUAUAACCUUAAUCCAUAAAUCCAGUCUUCUUUGGGAAAGUCUUAGCUGGUGUUAAUCACGAAAAUUAGAAAACUUGAAGUAUAAAAAGAUAAUGGAUUGCACCUACAAAUGUAUUCUUCAGUUCUAUAUGCAAACAAGCAGCUGCUCACAGAAAACUCUGUGUGAACACUGCAGUUUUAAUUUGUCAUCUUUGUUUUUCAGUGGCAUACCUUUAAUAUCACUUACAUUUCUGUGAAAAAUAUUUUUAUUACUUACCAGAAUUGUUUGCACUAUAAUGGAUUAUCUUUUUCCAUUUAAAAACACUAAAACAUUCUGUCUAUUAUCUCAUUUGUAGUACAACUUGGAAAAUGCAGGAAGGAUAUUGCAGUAUUCUCACGUGUGUCCGUUAUUCAUUUUCCUGCAGAGUAUUGGAAAUCUGUGUCAAAAUCCAUCUCUUUGGCUGACCUUUGGGAAGGCUCCGUUGAUGUGUUCUGGGAGGUUUCUGUCACUCACGGCCUGCUGUCCUUCUGUGUCAGAGGAAACCCAGUGUAAUGAGACAUGCUGCUAAGAAGGUUCUGGAGGAGGCUAGAGCACUCUUACCUGCAAUACCUGAGGAAUGUGCUUUUGUAGAACACUCAAAACGUACUUAUGAUUCUUCGGGCACAUAAGGCUGGACAGUCCAUUCACAGAUGGCCUUGAAGUCUUCAGCUUCUCUUGACUCAUCUGUGGCUGUAUAAAAGUUUGUCAAAGAAUGUGUGCACAUUAGACAUCUGCCCAGCCUGCAGUGCCUGAGUCAGGCACACUAAUAAGCUUGUGGUUGUCCUUCACAUUCUCUGAGUUUUUACUUAUUAGGCAGAAAAAGUGUUUCAUGGAGAUUCAUAGAAUGGCUUGUGUUGGAAGGGACCUCAAGGAUCAUCAAGCUCCAGUCCCCCUGCCGCAUGCAGGGCCACCAACCUCCAUAUCUAAUACUAGACAUAUAGACUUAUACAUACAGACUACACUAAGUAAUCUAUUAGAGCUUGAGAUAAUGGAAAGUCAUUUGGAAACUGGGAUCAAAUGAGAAAGUUGCACUUGGGCAAUGCAUAAUGUGUACAUGCUAAAGAUUGGUCAAGAUGAAUACUCUCAUCCAGAAGUCCUGUAGAUACAUCUUCACAAUGGGAAGUAUUCCACUGAAGCUACCUGUCCAUAUUAACAUGGCACAGAAUCCACAAAUGCUUCACUCCACUUCUCAGGCAAGCAGUGGAAGAAUUCUUGUAUCUUUCAUCUGUUGCUGCAAAGUGGUGCACAAGUCAAAAUCACAAUUGAAAAGUUAACAGUUGAUCAACCUUACUAUAAGCCUACUGAUACAAGAUCUGCAGAAAGGAAGGACUGGAUUAUUUGGGGGAAGAAAGCAAAAACAUUCAGAUCCUACAUCCAGAAGAAUUGCUGUUAAUGUUUACAGGUUUCAUGUAUGUUCUUUUGCCUGAGCUGUGCUUUGGGGUGCAUUGGCUCUUUUCUCUGGAGUAAAACAUGAAAAAUCUUCCUUUCUUUGGUGAUCUCCAGAGCUUUUUAAAGGUACGGUAGAACAAUAGUACUCUCACAGUAGUUUUAAUGGGACAGAAGUGUUGCUGUGUUGUCUUACAGAUUUUAUCAAAUUGUGCUUAGAAUUCAUUCAUUUUGAUCACUCAUAUUAUAGACAAAAUUCUUCUUGUAGGAUGUUUAUAUGUCCCAGAGCAUUCAUAAUGCACUGUGUUCAGCCAUCUACAAGCAUUUAAUUACAGACCGUCUGUUUCAUGUAAAAAAUAUUUGCCAAGACUCUUUUGGCAGAGUAAGGAGUGAACUUCGUAAAGGAAAACCAAGUUGCUCAUCGGUGGUGGCAGCAAAAAUGAGGAAAAGAACUACCCAAGAGUUUCUUGAAGAUUCCAGUUGAUGGAUCCUGGCCUGAUUGGGUCUCUUAUAUAAACCUUGAUGGAAUGGUGCUAAAUUUUGCAUGGAAACCUUUAUUUUUUUCCCCACUUCAACAACUGUAGCUGAAUGUACAUUUAAAAAUGGUAUUUGAAAAUUAAACUCAUAAGACAUCAUUAUACAAGACAUAAGCACAAACUUAGUACAGAAAGGGAGAAAGCAUCCAGUCUUUGAAAAUAAUGUUUGUGCCUUGUGCUUUUUUAAAACAUAAACAUAGAUUAUCAGCACACUACUAAAGUGAGGCUGCAUCUCACCUUCCACAGUCUCACAGCAUAAAAAUAGCAUAUUUGAACUUACCAGAAGAUUGAUGUUUCUUUGCUUUCGUAUUACUUUUUCCUUUGUAUUUUAUGAAAAUGUAUGCCUUGCUGUCCAAUGUUGAAAAUAUCCACUGAGGUGAUUUUAAAGUUAAACCUGAAGAUUCAAGUUGGAAGUUACUGAAGGAUGAGUUUGGGUUUUUUCAAAGUGCUAUUAUUUUGACUCCUUGAGGGCUCCACAUGAAUACUUUACCUCUCCUUUUCUUUCUUUGGUUUGAGAUUCAUAACUGCAGCUGCUGUGCAAAGUAAAGUUUCCAUUGAGGACUAGCUGACCAAAUUUGUCAUGCUGAAAGUGAAAGUUGUAUCAGAAAGAGUGGGGUUUCCUUCAGUGCAGCAAGUCUGAGUACUGGAGCAGGUUCUAUUUCAGUCAUCCCUCCACUUCAGCAUAUAUCAACAGAUGGAAUCAGUGCAUCUUUUCUGUUGUACUUCAGCCUCCUACUCACUGACCACAGCAGGGACUAUGUCACGUCAUUGAGCACCAAGAGACACUGGAGAGAGGGAGUCCAACUGCCCACAGAGGCCCUGAGGUGCCUGGAGGAGGGAAACACCCCAGGGUAUCUCAUCUUCCUCCUCCACCCUCCUCCCAAAGCCAAAUGCCCAGAAUGUGCUGAGCUGAACUGAAACCCUGCCCUGUGGCCUUGGGGAGCAGUCAGCUAUGUGGCUGUAGACACCAUAUGCUGAGGGAGCACCACCUUCCUGCUUUCACUGGCAGAAGUGAGUUUCCCUUAAAAACCAGCAAAUUAUGCAGUUUCACACCUGACUCUUCAGUUGAGCAGGUGGAAAUGUCCUUUUCUGGGCCUCAACAGUAAAGGAGCCAAAGGCCAGGGGUCAGCUAUUAAGUUCAGCUGUUCCCUAUUGCAGGUUCAACUCAUGCUCCCUGGCCUGGCUGUGCUCUGAGGCACCUUGAGGCACUUGUGCCUUUGCGGUAUGAGCUCAUUUGUUGUCAUUUCCACUUUGGGGUGGGAAAAAAGGUCAUAAGAAGAGAUCAGUAAAUGUGCAGCAUUCAUAAAGCAAGGCCGCUUCAAAACAGACACGUUGCAGUGUUAUCAUAUCCAGGAAAACAGCAACAGACAGCGUAACUUUAAAAUACCACCCAGAAACUCUUGCUUGGAAAGGACAACUCACAGCAUCAAAGCCUGGACGUACUUGCCAAACCAUGCUUUAACUUACUGCCAAGACACCAGAUUUAUCCCCUUAGUAGCAAUGAUGCGCUAGGCAAGAUGGUGAUUGCUACAGCAAAGUGGGGAUGGGUUUGUUUCACAGUGGUCACGAUGACAGAAGGAGCCCUGCAGAUAUUAAUACUUGAUGAGAAAGGUACAUGAAAUUAGCCUGUGAACUGUUUGUGGAUAAAUAUCUCUCAAGCAUACAAUAAGAAUUCAAGCAAAUUAAUUUAACAGCUAGAAGUCAAAUGUAAUGAAAAAAUAUUUAUGAAAAUUUUGUAUGUUUAGGUGAAUAGUUUCAAACCAAAAAUAAAUGAGAAAUAAAUACAGCCUAGUAGAAAUUGGACUGUGUUUAGAUUCUGAUAAUCUGAAAGGGCAUUUUUUAGCAUAAGGAUAAGUUCAGGUGAUUAUUUAAAGAAUAAGAUCAGAAUGGCUGUUCUUGACUUUAAUUUGGAGCCAAAAUAUUCUAUGUAAAGAACUUGUAAAAUCCAUGUCCCCUUUAGUUCUACAGUCAGUAAUUACUCACAGGAUAGAGUAUUCAGAUUUAUGAGGAAGAAGGAGAGAGUGGCAGUAAGUUGUUACUUCUAUUUCCAGCCAAUGUUUGCAAAUUCAAUGGCAAUAACAAACCAAAAACCUGACUUUCUCCCUUCAAACCGCUCUAUAUCUGUGGUCAAAAAUGUAUAGCUAUGUUUUACAUCUUUUUUAGCACAUAAACAUUUAAGGAUACUUACCUCAACCACACGACAAUUUUCUGAGCCUUGCAAGUCUUACAAAUCCCUAAUCACAGUUGGAUGUAUUCAGUAAUGUAGAAUUAAGGAGUAACAGCUGAAAUGCACCUGGGUUAGGUGGCUACUGAGGUUAUAUGGUGUCGAAAUAAUAAGGUGUGGGUCUGGUUAGAGAGGGACCAGGCAUCUGUUCCCACCUCAGCUACAACUUCCCAUACUAGUACUCAUAUUGAGUACUGAGUAUUAUAGUACUGAGGAUUAUAGCACUAGUGAUUGUGCUAUAACAGUGAUUGUGAUUACUGAGGUAAUCUAAACAGAGAACUUUGCUUCUCUGGAAGUGGAGAAUAACUACUGUAUUUUAGUGACAUGCUGAUGGAACCUCAGUUUGGAUGUCCAAAGAUGUAGUUCCUGGCUGAUGCAUAUACAAGUAAAUUGUUACUGACUUAAUUUUGUCUUAAUGGGAUUCUUUUGUUGACAAGGUAAAUUUGUGACUUCUGAGCCGAGAAUUGUCUUUAGCUGGUGACAGCUUUCAUUUAGAGCAAGCAUUAUACUUAUUACCAUGACAGAGGCCCUUAAACAGGAAGAUGGAUAAAUUCUACUAGCAAGGAAUGGUAGCUGGCCUCUUGAUAACAUAUGGCAUAGCAUUGAACAACUUCCUGGAAACCUUAGCAGUGCAGAGGUUUGAAAGAACUGGACUGGCCUGCAGUUCAUAAACAUCAUAGGCUGAAUAAGCUGCUUCUAACUGCAUCAGAAACUUUUGCUCAUAUAUUUAGACUUUGCUUCUAGAACUAAAAGUGCUAAAAAGUGGCAAGACUAAAAAGGCAGCACAGCAAUAAAAAUUCCAUUUUGACUCUGGGGAGAGCCUCAGAGAUGUUGUGGUCAGAAUUUUCUCCAUUAUUUGCAAGUUCUCAAAGAAGAAUUUUCUUCAUUCUGGAUUAGCUUUUUGCAAAAUCUAUUAAGACUUUUAAUUUCAUUUAAAAAUAUUCUUAUGUUUUGAAACUUAGUCUGCAGGAAGUUUAACCAGACCUUAAUUAAGGACUCUGAGUGUGACAGAAGCUUGUGUAUCAACAAGGUGCUUUGCUUGUCUGCCCAAUAAAAAUACAAGGAGUAAUGCCUGUUUGGGGAGUAAGCAGAGCAGAAGCGAAGCAGGGAGGGGGGCACAAAUUAUGAGCUGCUUUGGUCUCCAUUGUCAGGAAGUACUUCACCACUUCCAUUGCCUCACUACAUCUCUUCUAUUAGAAAGCCUUUAUAAAUUACAGGAAUAAGUGGCCCUUAGCAAAUAACUUCAAAACAGAGCAACUAAAUAGGACUGAAGGAGAAUGGGAAACUCCAUUCUGCUACUGCUAAAGCAUAGUUCUGAGCUGCUGGCAUUUUUUCCCCCUCUCAGCUCAGGAUGAAAGACAAAAAUGUUAAUAAUUUCCACAAAUUGAAAAUCUGAAAAAUGUGAGCUGAGGUCAGCUGGAACAUUUCGUUUCUAUAAUUUUGUAAUAUCUUUUGACAAUGCUGAUCUGUCUUUAAUCAUUUUAUGCCUAAAUUUGCUAAGAUUUCAAAAUUUUAAGAAGUUCCAGCUUGAAGGAAACAAAAGCUUUCUAACUCAAAAUGUUGAAGAAAGACUAUAUUUUAAUGUUUUCAAAAAAUAAAUAAAUCAAGGAGCAAUAGGAAAUUGAGCCUUUUCUUAGCCAUUAGUCUGAGUCAUAACACAGAUCGGUAACAAAUGCUGUGUAUUUCAGUAGGAGAGCACUCCAGUGACUAACUUUUUUUCCUAUCCGGUUGACUGCAGUGACAUUUGGGUCAGGCCUACUAAGAUGGUUCUCCUAACUGUGCCAGUGCCAGAAAAAUGCUUGCAUGCUGAUAAGUCAAUGGAACAUCAAAGAGAAAUAUUCAUUUUUGUAGUCAAGAACAAGAUAUUUGAUGGUGGAACUAAUCCCUUGGCAAUAAAAAAUUUCCUUUACAGUCAAUUCUAUGAUUAAGCCAAAGCCACUUCUUUGUUCCUCCACCUGUCCCCGUGAGUCAGCAACGCUUUCCUCUUGCUUUUCCUCCAAGUCAGAUGACAGUGCCUCUCCUGGGCUGCAGACGCACAAGUGUUUUGCCUACAGUUAUGACUUGUUUAGCUUUUGCAGUGUUGGCAGCCUCUCUGAGCUCUGGCACACUUUCUUCCAAAUGGGAGAGUCUGGAGGGGGCAGUUUAUUUCUCAUACUGAUCGUGGUUUUGUUACUCUAAAAAUCAGGAGUUUGAAAAUCUCAUCACAACCAUUCGUAAUUUGCUUAGAACUGUAACAAAAAUGCUAAGUUUCAUCCUUAAAAGAGAAGUACUGAAAUGUUUAAGAUUUAAUCCCAUGGGAUUCUAAAAUAUAUAUAAUAGUAAUAGUAUAAUAGACAUCUUUGGGCCAAAUUAGCUCAUUGCGUUUAUCCCUUACCUGCAACUCUGAUGGGCACAAAGACAUGUCCACUUGGUAGUGUUGUACAUGUGAGUUACGCUGUUGUAACAUCUCUCUGAAAAGAGAUUCUUUUUUUGCAAGGACACCUUUGAAAUUCCAUCUCGUCAGUGUGUAAAGUUAUAACAGGAGCAAGAUGUUGUCCUCAAGUACCAGGCUGAGAGAUUAAUUCAAAUUUUGUUGCACUUUUGCUCUGAGUUAAGGUCAAUUGCAUGAAUGAACUUAAUAUUUAGUUUCCAUACAGGCAGAUCUAUAAUUCACUAUAUAUGCUUUAGCAUAUAUCAUAACUACAUUUUGCCUCUGAUUCUCUAUACUGAGGUAAGUAUUUGGUGGCAUUUGCCAGAUGUUCUUCCGAAGCCAAUGUGAAUAUCAACAACAUGAAGUAAGAGGUGCCACCUGUACCAGUGUCAUGCCAGGCCAGGCAGUGUGCUUCCCACCUAAUCACAGAGAGAAAGAAUCUGUGUGACUCAGAGCAGGCAAAGGAAAAUAAAUGUCAGACCUCUGGACUGAGAGCUCAGCUUGCCAGAGAGGAGGGUUGUUGGAGCCAGUGAACUCUCCAUUGCCUUACUUACUGGCUUUCAGGUCAGUGAUUUUUGUCCCCAUGGCAUCCAUCUCCCCCACAGAAACAAAAUUCUGCAUUUCACUGUUACUGCUUUGGUAAUAGCAACUGGACUGACCACUCUGAGGUAUGUUGUUGCUCAUACAGCCAGUAAACAUGGCAGUAAACAGGCCAACACAAAACACAGAAGAGUAUACAUAUCUCUGAGUGUGUUCAUACACAAACUUAAAACUGACUCCUCUCAUGCCAUAAUGAUGAGCAACAUAUUCUGACCAUUCCUUUCCCAUGCAGGCUUAGCCUGGCUGAUCUGUGUACUCAGCACUGAAACCUACACUUUUCCCAGGACCCAUCAGGUCAGACUGCUCAUAAACCAGUGCUUCUUUGAUGGCCCUCAUCCUGCUUUCAAUUGAUGUGGCAGUGCGUGAAUACAUAUGACCGAAAGCUUGAUAUAAAAUUCAUUUGUCUAAACACCACCUAUUUAUGUUUGAUGGCCUGAACAAUUAUUAAUCCUGAUUGGAAAUAUAAGUCAUUGUGUGCACAGUGUCCUGUCACAGCAUCCCUGUUAGCUCCCCUGAGGCCAAAUUCUCUGACAAUGCACACAGUGUCCGGUUCUUUCUGCACACAGCACCAUGCCCUUGCUGAAAUCCCAGGCAGGAAACCUCUUUUUCUGUAUGCUCACCAGUGUGGAUGAUCCCCAGGAAUUUCCCGGGUCUGCCAUUGUAUAUCCCACAAGACAAGAGACAGGCCUUGCACCGCUGUGCCCAACAGUUUCCAUAUUCUCACAUACUGUUCAAAAAUGCCAUAACACAUGCAACCUCAGUGAGCAUAGCAUGUGUCCUUCCUGCCAGGACAUGAGCUCCCACACAGACCUGUGCCUGGGGAGAGCUCUGAAGGAAACAGAGUCUUCUUUAACCCACUGUGAGAGCGGUAAGUACUAGAGCUGCUGCAGGCCUGCUCCUUGGUGGUAUAAUCCCUCUUUGCUUCCCUCUAAUCUCUGAAAUUCUCACUCUUAUUUAAGGACUCUGCUCCUCCUCUGCCAACAAAAUACCAAGUUCAAGGCUUCCAGAUAAGCUACAUCUGCCAAGCAAGCAGUCACAUAUAUGAAACCUAACACAGCAGGACCUACCAAUCGAUGCCUUGCUGGCUGCAUCUAGUAUGCACAUGCACCCGGUGCUCUUUUGUCAGCAGCUGUUCUACACAGCCACCCCCAGCCUCUGCACAGCCCACAGAAAUACAGAUAUUGGCCUGGGCUGUGGCAGUAUUUAUUUGCCUCAUCUGUCACAUCCUCUUUUAUUUUUCUGAUUCUACAAGAAAUGUGUGUCCUCUCUUUCUGAGUGAAUAAGAGGCAGAAGGAGAGAAGAGAGACCACAGAGCACUGUGGAUUAGACACUGUUCAAAGGCACGUUGAGCAGAAUGCAGCACAGACACCCCUGAGAAAAUUGCAUAGAUGAUUUUUGGGUCUUCAGAGUGGAUCAAACCAGGGUAAUCCUCUGUUCCCAGGAGCAUUGUAGGGAACAACCUACUAGGGGAUUGCAGUAGUGACAAAAUCAACAGACCGAUUUUGAAUGUUCAGUCUUGUAGAAGAAUCUUCAGUUCGAGUAUCUUCAUUUUAACUUCAGUCCGAUGUGCCAUUAUCCAUUAGAUGACAACAUUGCCGUACAUACAAAAAAAUCAAGGCUGUUCUGUUUUCUUUAAUGCUGAAUGAGUUAGAAAUGCAGUGUAAGGCUAUAACUAAUAUUCUAGUGCUGGUAGCUAAAAUUCCUGCAUGUUAAUCCAAAAAGGGCUAUAAUAAACAUUUACCUAGACCACCUACCUGAAAACAAGCACAAACUGAAUGAAGGGGCACUGUACCUCUGGCUAGAUAUUCCUGUAUCACCUCUUUCAAUGAUGCAAAAUUGAGAAUACAUCAGUUCUGUCACCCAGCAAAAGCCACAUGCACUGUCAGUUGAUACUCUUGCAUUUCUUACACAAUGAACUGCAAUGACACUUUUACUUUCUGUACAGUGAAUCAAUACAAGGGUAUAACCUCUUACCAACACAAUUCUAGAGAACUGAGAAACUUACUUUCUAUUCGAAGAGUAAGUUAUAUUUCCCUAAAGUCUGAAUGAAAAUGCAUGCAUAUUUCCCGCCCCCCCCAGCGCACUCAUUUACUUAAGUUUUCCCCAAGCAAAACAAAAAUAAUGAAGUAAAUUCCUUAAAGGUAAUACUGAAUCAAUCAGAAACACCAUGUUAAAUGAUUAAUACUAGGUAAAAUAUGUGCAAUCAAUAAGAUUAUUUAAAACUGAAUUUAUAGUGAGGUAGAAGGCUGGUGGGGCUGUUUAUUUUGCUUCCUUUUUUUUUUUUUUUGUGGCAUUAGUGGAUUUUGCUUUUUUUUUUUUAAUUUUCAUUUCAGAAAUGGAAUAGUCUGUUUGGUGAACUUACUCAAUUGCUCCUGAAAAUCAUUUGUCAGUGAAAGGAGUAAUGGGAACAUAAUAGCUAAGCCCUCAAAAGUUCAGCUGGAUUAAAAGCAAUUUGAAAUCUUUUUGGGAAUUAAAAUAAAGUUAUUUGCAGAUGGACUUCAUUAGAAAAACUGGUGGCAAGAAUUACUUCACAUCUCUAAAUGUGUCUAGCCAAUAUCCCCUAUGCCUUAAUAUUUUCAGUAUCAGAGAUGAACGCUUUCUUUGUGGUCAUCUGCUUGCUUUAAGGAAAUACCAUACAUUCACAUGCGCAAAUUUACACACAUAUGGAUAAACCAUAUAUAUGUAUGCAUACAUACACACAGUAUUUUUUAAUGUAAGUAGAUGACUGUGUACAUAAAGAGAUUUUCAGAAAUUUGUUUGAGAAUGAGCUACACUUGAUGCUAAGAAACAUACUGGUCCUAAACAUUUUUUAUUUUUUGAAAGCUGCACUUCAAAAAGAUAACAUCUUCUUUUAUACUAUUCUGAUAAUGUAAAUUAAAUAUUGCUAUUGCAAAAGUAUUUUCCUGCUGCGUAUGAAAUGGAUGCACCUUGGAGAACAUAUCUGCCUCCACGUCACUCCAGUACUUCCAGUUAGCUACAGUACCACACACAGGCAGGGAGUUAGGUGUAUAGCUAUCCAGACUGCAUAUAUUAUCUGAUUGGCAUGUCCACUUGCUCCUUUACUGCCAUAAAUGAGUGGCUGUGCAGGUGCCAUUAGCACAUGCAUCUUUUUCUGAAUGCGCCAU
rnacentral:lncRNA from 1 species